UACGUAGGGGGCUAGCGUUGUCCGGAAUCAUUGGGCGUAAAGCGCGCGUAGGCGGCCAGAUUAGUCCAGUGUGAAAGUCAGAGGCUCAACCUUUGAAUGCCGCUGGAAACUGUCUGGCUUGAGUCCGGAAGGGGCGAGUGGAAUUCCUGGUGUAGCGGUGAAAUGCGCAGAUAUCAGGAGGAACACCAAUGGCGAAGGCAGCUCGCUGGGACGUGACUGACGCUGAGACGCGAAAGCGUGGGUAGCAAACAGG
rnacentral:rRNA from 1 species